AGCUGUUUGUAUAAAUCCUCAAGGAGGACUGCUCUGGGGAGGACAUCACGUGUGUUUGAAAGAGAGGGAUGGAAAAGAGGGGGCUGGAGUGAGAGGAGAAGAGGAAGGAAUCGAACCACAUGUUAUUUCUUUGUCAUCGACGUCAUCCCACCAUUGUACAGAUUUUCUUGGAUGACAUGCGGCCCAUACUCUCGCCCCUUGUCCUCCAUCUCUGUUGGUCGUGCAGGAUGGUCUGCUAAUUUCCCUGAUGCUUCAUCAGGUUUUGGAAGCAUCGGGCUAAGGGGUGAUUAUGCUCAGAUUUUGAUGCAGUGAGAUUCAGAUAAUUUUAAGAAACACAUGUAAAGGAGUCCAAACAGGACGGGCUCGGUGUACAUGGUUUUCAGUUAAUGCAGUUUAGGUCUGACCAGCACAAGUGGCAACAGGUAGUAGUGGAGAAGGCAUGAAGAGGCCCACAUAUGAAAAUCUCAACUAUUCUAGGAUUUUCGAGCUGCUGACCAUGUGAUUGGUAGCCGACGAUUUCUUCAUGGGUUGCUGAUUUCUCAAGUUUUGCCUCACACAAAAGAGGGCUAGCAACACCUUUGACAGAAACAGCCAACAUUCAGUGCAGAUCCGGUAUAUUCUGGUUGUCUUCCAUUUAGUUGACGGCAUGCAAGACUGAUCUGAUGCAUCUACUGCUUGUUGACUUGGUUAUAUUUAUUU